rnacentral:rRNA from 1 species
CACCGCGGUUAUACGAGGAACUCAAGUUGACAAGCCCCGGCGUAAAGCGUGGUUAAAUAUAUUUAUAAACUAAAGCCGAAAACAUUCACAGCAGUUAUACGCAUGAGAGUAAUAAGCCCGCUUACGAAAGUAGCUUUAUAGUAUUUGAAUCCACGAAAACUGGGGCA